rnacentral:rRNA from 1 species
AUAGCGAAUAGUACCGUGAGGGAAAGGUGAAAAGAACCCCGUCAGGGGAGUGAAAUAGAACAUGAAACUAUAAGCUUACAAGCAGUAGGAGGACGACUUAACGUCUGACUGCGUGCCUGUUGAAGAAUGAGCCGGCGACUUAUAGGUAAUGGCUUGGUUAAGAUAGUGAAUAUCGGAGCCGUAGCGAAAGCGAGUCUGAAAAGGGCGUUUGUCAUUAUUUAUAGACCCGAACCCGGAUGAUCUAACCAUGGCCAGGUUGAAACUUAGGUGAUACUAAGUGGAGGACCCAACCGACUGAUGUUGAAAAAUCAGCGGAUGAGUUGUGGUUAGGGGUGAAAUGCCAAUCGAAUCCGGAGCUAGCUGGUUCUCCCCGAAAUGCGUUUUGGCGCAGCGGUUAAUGUUAUAAUUUAGGGGUAAAGCACUGUUUCGGUGCGGGCUGGUAAAACGGUACCAAAUCGAGGCAAACUAAGAAUACUAAAUGAAUAAUUAACCAGUAAGACUGUGGGGGAUAAGCUCCAUUGUCAAGAGGGAAACAGCCCAGACCACCAGCUAAGGCCCCUAAAUGAUUACUAAGUGAUAAAGGAUGUGGGAAUGCUGAGACAAUCAGGAGGUUCGCCUAGAAGCAGCUAUCCUUUAAAGAGUGCGUAAUAGCUCACUGAUCAAGCGCACCUGCGCCGAAAAUGAACGGGGCUAAGUAAUCUGCCGAAGCUGUGGGAUCUUUUAGAUCGGUAGGGGAGCGUUCCACAAUAGAUUGAAGCAUUAGCGUAAGCGGAUGUGGACGAAGUGGAAGUGAGAAUGUCGGCUUGAGUAGCGAAAACAUUGGUGAGAAUCCAAUGCCCCGAAAACCUAAGGUUUCCUCCGGAAGGCUCGUCCGCGGAGGGUGAGUCAGGACCUAAGGCGAGGCCGAAAGGCGUAGCUAAUGGACAACGGGUUAAUAUUCCCGUACCAUCUAUUGCUGAUAUCGAGGGACGGAGAAGGCUAGACCAGCCGGAUGUUGGUUACCGGUUUAAGCGUUAAAGGUGUUGAAGAGCGGCGAAAACGCUCUGAGCUAAGGCGUGAAUACGAAAUACCAAGGUAUUGAAGUGGUUGAUGUCAUACUUCCAAGAAAAGCUCGGAAUAUCAUAAGUUAUAGAUGCCUGUACCCGAAACCGACACAGGUAGGUAGGUAGAGCAUACCAAGGGGCGCGAGAUAACUCUCUCUAAGGAACUCGGCAAAAUUACCUCGUAACUUCGGAAAAAGAGGUACCCCUUUAGGGGGGUUGCAAUACAUUGACCCUGGCGACUGUUUACCAAAAACACAGGUCUCCGCUAAUUCGUAAGAAAAAGUAUGGGGGCUGACGCCUGCCCAGUGCCGGAAGGUUAAAGAAGUUGGUUAGUCUUCGGACGAAGCUAGCGACUGAAGCCCCGGUGAACGGCGGCCGUAACUAUAACGGUCCUAAGGUAGCGAAAUUCCUUGUCGGGUAAGUUCCGACCCGCACGAAAGGCGUAACGAUCAGGGUACUGUCUCGGAGAGAGGCUCGGCGAAAUAGACAUGUCUGUGAAGAUGCGGACUACCUGCACCUGGACAGAAAGACCCUAUGAAGCUUUACUGUAUCUUGGAAUUGGGUUUGGUCUUUACUUGCGCAGGAUAGGUGGGAGGCUUUGAAGAUGAUCUUGCGGGAUCGUUGGAGCCACUGGUGAGAUACCACUCUUGUAAUGAUAAAAUCCUAACUUUGAACCGUUAUCCGGUCAGAGAACAGUUUCAGGUGGGCAGUUUGACUGGGGCGGUCGCCUCCUAAAAGGUAACGGAGGCGUGCAAAGGUUCCCUCAGGCUGGUUGGACAUCAGUCGUAGAGUGUAAAGGCAUAAGGGAGCUUGACUGCGAGACCUACAAGU